GACGAACGCUGGCGGCGUGCUUAACACAUGCAAGUCGAACGGAAAGGCCCUGCUUGCAGGGUGCUCGAGUGGCCAACGGGUGAGUAACACGUGGGUGAUCUGCCCCUUACUUUGGGAUAAGCCUGUGAAACUGGGUCUAAUACUGGAUAGGACCAUUCUUUAGGUGGUUUGGUGGAAAGAUUAGUUUCGGUAAGGGAUGAGCUCGGGGCCGAUCAGCUUGUUGGUGGGUUAAUGGCCUACCAAGGCGUCGACGGGUAGCCGGCCUGAGAGGGUGGACGGCCACAUUGGGACUGAGAUACGGCCCAGAGUACUAAGGGAGGCAGCAGUGGGGAAUAUUGGACAAUGCGAGCAAGCCUGAGGCAGCGACGCCGCGGGGGGGAUGAAGGCCUUCGGGUUGUAAACUCCUUUCAGCAAUGAAGAAGCCAUUGUGGUGACGGUAGUGGUAGAAGAAGCACCGGCAAACUACGU
rnacentral:rRNA from 1 species